UCAAACGAGUUGUAAUACGAAAGUCGACAAAGGGCGUUGCAAGUUAGGUUUGUAAAUUUCACUGAAAUUUGGGUCAGAUGUCUCGGAGCUUUUCUCUCAAUAUACUUGGAUUUACGGGGUGAUCCACCCAUCAAAUCAAAGGUCUAUGAGUCUAGUUUCCAGCGGAUUUUACCGUUCAUCAAUACGACAUCGGAGUAGAGAGAAAUUUGCAUUUUUGUCCAAGGACGUAAACUGCCGCGGGAACAGUGGACAUAGUCGGUGGUCAAAGUUGUCUUUGUAUAUAUAUUCACCCCUUCCACGACUUGUCUCUUAUUUUUCCUCUUCCUAAGACCUCCAAACCCUAGAAUUCAUCCUUAAAUACUUCCCCAUCAAACACAAGAUAAUCAAAGGGCAAAUUAUACAAGUCUAACACAAGGAACAAGGUAGUGAUCUUGGAAUCGGUAAAUUCUCGCUAAUUCGAUCUUUGGAAGGAAACUUCAUCAAGAAGCAAUUUAUAGUUUGGAGUGAUUUGCAUAGUUGGAGGAAGUCAAUUAUAAAGUGUUCGAAGCUUAUGGAAAUGUGUAUAACUCCAAUCGACGAGGUACGAUAGACGGAUUGUUGUACCUUUCUCAGUAGGAUACCAAAGUUCAGCAGGGAUGUUCGCACUCCAUUCUCCGGAGUUGCUGUCGAGUCAUUAAAUAGG